rnacentral:lncRNA from 1 species
CGGACUAUCUCCAUCUCACGGUUGGAGGCACACUGUCGAAUGCAGGAGUCAGUGGGCAGACCUUCCGGCAUGGCCCACAGAUCAGCAAUGUCAACGAGCUGGAAAUUGUGACUGGUAUGAGAGAGACCUAUAUAGCAUGACGAUUUGAACAAUUUAAUGUAACUAACUCUCUAUAAUGACUGGCAAAUGCAGGAAGAGGUGAUGUUAUCACAUGCUCACCUGAACAAAACUCUGAUCUCUUCCAUGCUGCCCUUGGUGGCCUAGGUCAGUUUGGCGUCAUCACAAGAGCCAGGAUUCCUCUUGAACCUGCUCCAAAAAUGGUAAGCGAAACAAUUAAGUCAUGUCAGCUUGAUGAUAUUAGCAUUUCAAUAGCAUACUCAUGAGUUAAUCAGAUGGAUGACAGGUAAGGUGGCUACGAGUUCUCUACUUGGAUUUCACAAGCUUCACCGAAGACCAGGAAAUGCUCAUUUCAGCAGAGAAGACAUUUGACUACAUCGAGGGCUUUGUCAUCAUAAAUAGGACAGGCAUCCUGAACAACUGGAGGUCGUCCUUCAAUCCGCAGGACCCAGUGCGUUCUAGCCAGUUUGAAUCAGAUGGAAAAGUGCUCUUCUGCCUUGAGAUGACAAAGAACUUCAACCCUGACGAGG